UGGUUUAGAGGUUGAAAAGUAUCCCGCUCCAACGCGCCACCAGUAAUGGUGGGCCGAGAAAUGUGGGCGACCGCGGGUCCCACCUAAGCUA
rnacentral:tRNA from 12 species